rnacentral:rRNA from 1 species
UACGUAGGCAGCGAGCGUUGUUCGGAAUUACUGGGCGUAAAGAGUGUGUAGGCGGUGCUCUAAGUUCGGUGUGAAAUCUCCUGGCUCAACUGGGAGGGUGCGCCGGAAACUGGAGUGCUUGAGCGUGGGAGAGGAAAGCGGAAUUCCUGGUGUAGCGGUGAAAUGCGUAGAUAUGCGGAGGAACACCGAUGGCGAAGGCGGUUCUCUGGGCCUUACCUGACGCUGAGGAGCGAAAGCGUGGGGAGCGAACAGG